UUAAUCUAUUAUUAGUUUGAGUUUUAUUAAUUUUAUUAGGAGUUAAAUUAAUUAAUUUAUUUUUUCUUCUUUUCUCCUUGAAUGACGCUUAGGGCAUGUUUGAUUAGUAGUAUUAGUGGUACUAUUUUAUUAACCUGUUAAUCAAAGUGGUACUAUUUCAUGGGAUUAUUAAUCAAACAAGGCCUUAGUUUGAGUUUUAUUUAUUGCAUAAAACACCUGUUUAUUAGUUUGUAUAACAUUUUGAUAACAUUCGGAUUUAUUAGUUUGUAUAGCAUUUUGAUAACAUUUGAAUUUGAUUUACAAAUAAUGGGAAAAAGGGAAACCUGAGUUUUGAUUUUUCUUCAGUAUUUAUAUUUCUAUCUUGGAAUACAAGUUCAUAAUUGUAUUUUAUGUAUGCAUGUAUGUAUGUGAUAUUGUUUCUUUUAUUAAUUUUAUUUUAUUUUAUUUUUUGUGGCUUUUUAAAUAGAGAGAAUGGGUUGAUUUUUUGUGCUAGUUUUUGGCUAUUUAGCUAAUUUUCCUAUUCGCAAACAAAUUUAACCAAAAUAGAUAGGAGUUAAAUUAAUCGUUUUUUUUUUCUUUUCUCCUUGAAUGACACUUAGGGCAUGUUUGAUUAGUAGUAUUAGUGGUACUAUUUUAUUAACCUGUUAAUCAAAGGAGGUUACCCGUUUAUUAGUUUGUAUAGCAUUUUGAUAACAUUCAAAUUUGAUUUACAAAUAACCUAUACGAUUUAUUAGUUUGUAAUGCAUGAUAAUUUCAUUUGGAAUGCUAUUAAAUGUCAUUCUCAAUAUACACAACCAACCAAGCAUUAAUUAGUAGAUAACAAUGGGGAAAAUGGAAACUUAGGCUUUGAUCUUUAUAUUUCUAUCUUUAGAUAUCUUUUGUUUUAAUAAUCUUUCAAAAUAUUAAUGAAUGUUACCAGCAUGUUUGGAUGUCUUUAAUUUUUGGAUAUCUUCAAUAAUCUUCAAUAAUCUUUUGUUUCAAUAAUAUUGACAGCAGGUUUGAAACAUUGUGUCUGAAGCGUUGGGGACUUCCUUAAGACCUUUCAUAUCGAAACAAGGUACAGAUGUGGUUUUGGCAAUACUAAGCUAGAACGACCUCUAACAUUAUGGAUAAUGGACACAAUGGUUAUGUUAUAUCAAGAGCUGUAUUAGCUCAACGUGCACGACGAAAACAUGAAAGAAAUGAAAAUGCAUGCUUUGCAUAUCAAUCGAGACAACGCUUGCGACAAGAACGAGAGAGAUUACGAGCAUACAUUAAAGGCUUUCCUUCAUUAACACCGAGUCGUCGCAGUCACGCUUGCCUAGAACAGGGUACAAAGACAAUUGAGGAUACUUCGUUGGCACAAAAACGAACAAUGGUUACACAUGCAUCCACAUGUGUGUUCUCUAUGGAAAGUACAUCUUUGGCUCGGAGUUGGUAAAACAUGUUUAAUUCUUUAAAUAAUACUCUUACUUUUACAUGUGUAUAAAUUUAAAUUUAUCCACAACAAAUAUUUGUAGGCCUAAUUCUACAGUCACAUUUUUUCAAGAGGAUCUAUGUACAUAUGAUGAAUUAGAAGAUAUGACUAUAAGUACUACGAUUAAUACUCAAUCACACAU